rnacentral:rRNA from 1 species
GAUGAACGCUGGCGGCGUGCCUAAUACAUGCAAGUCGAGCGAACGGACGAGAAGCUUGCUUCUCUGAUGUUAGCGGCGGACGGGUGAGUAACACGUGGAUAACCUACCUAUAAGACUGGGAUAACUUCGGGAAACCGGAGCUAAUACCGGAUAAUAUUUUGAACUGCAUGGUUCAAAAGUGAAAGACGGUCUUGCUGUCACUUAUAGAUGGAUCCGCGCUGCAUUAGCUAGUUGGUAAGGUAACGGCUUACCAAGGCAACGAUGCAUAGCCGACCUGAGAGGGUGAUCGGCCACACUGGAACUGAGACACGGUCCAGACUCCUACGGGAGGCAGCAGUAGGGAAUCUUCCGCAAUGGGCGAAAGCCUGACGGAGCAACGCCGCGUGGGUGAUGAAGGUCUUCGGAUCGUAAAACUCUGUUAUUAGGGAAGAACAUAUGUGUAAGUAACUGUGCACAUCUUGACGGUACCUAAUCAGAAAGCCACGGCUAACUACGUGCCAGCAGCCGCGGUAAUACGUAGGUGGCAAGCGUUAUCCGGAAUUAUUGGGCGUAAAGCGCGCGUAGGCGGUUUUUUAAGUCUGAUGUGAAAGCCCACGGCUCAACCGUGGAGGGUCAUUGGAAACUGGAAAACUUGAGUGCAGAAGAGGAAAGUGGAAUUCCAUGUGUAGCGGUGAAAUGCGCAGAGAUAUGGAGGAACACCAGUGGCGAAGGCGACUUUCUGGUCUGUAACUGACGCUGAUGUGCGAAAGCGUGGGGAUCAAACAGGAUUAGAUACCCUGGUAGUCCACGCCGUAAACGAUGAGUGCUAAGUGUUAGGGGGUUUCCGCCCCUUAGUGCUGCAGCUAACGCAUUAAGCACUCCGCCUGGGGAGUACGACCGCAAGGUUGAAACUCAAAGGAAUUGACGGGGACCCGCACAAGCGGUGGAGCAUGUGGUUUAAUUCGAAGCAACGCGAAGAACCUUACCAAAUCUUGACAUCCUUUGACAACUCUAGAGAUAGAGCCUUCCCCUUCGGGGGACAAAGUGACAGGUGGUGCAUGGUUGUCGUCAGCUCGUGUCGUGAGAUGUUGGGUUAAGUCCCGCAACGAGCGCAACCCUUAAGCUUAGUUGCCAUCAUUAAGUUGGGCACUCUAAGUUGACUGCCGGUGACAAACCGGAGGAAGGUGGGGAUGACGUCAAAUCAUCAUGCCCCUUAUGAUUUGGGCUACACACGUGCUACAAUGGACAAUACAAAGGGCAGCGAAACCGCGAGGUCAAGCAAAUCCCAUAAAGUUGUUCUCAGUUCGGAUUGUAGUCUGCAACUCGACUACAUGAAGCUGGAAUCGCUAGUAAUCGUAGAUCAGCAUGCUACGGUGAAUACGUUCCCGGGUCU